rnacentral:rRNA from 1 species
UGAUGGCCAGGCUGUCUCCACCCGAGACUCAGUGAAAUUGAACUCGCUGUGAAGAUGCAGUGUACCCGCGGCAAGACGGAAAGACCCCGUGAACCUUUACUAUAGCUUGACACUGAACAUUGAGCCUUGAUGUGUAGGAUAGGUGGGAGGCUUUGAAGCGUGGACGCCAGUCUGCGUGGAGCCGACCUUGAAAUACCACCCUUUAAUGUUUGAUGUUCUAACGUGGACCCGUAAUCCGGGUUGCGGACAGUGUCUGGUGGGUAGUUUGACUGGGGCGGUCUCCUCCUAAAGAGUAACGGAGGAGCACGAAGGUUGGCUAAUCCUGGUCGGACAUCAGGAGGUUAGUGCAAUGGCAUAAGCCAGCUUGACUGCGAGCGUGACGGCGCGAGCAGGUGCGAAAGCAGGUCAUAGUGAUCCGGUGGUUCUGAAUGGAAGGGCCAUCGCUCAACGGAUAAAAGGUACUCCGGGGAUAACAGGCUGAUACCGCCCAAGAGUUCAUAUCGACGGCGGUGUUUGGCACCUCGAUGUCGGCUCAUCACAUCCUGGGGCUGAAGUAGGUCCCAAGGGUAUGGCUGUUCGCCAUUUAAAGUGGUACGCGAGCUGGGUUUAGAACGUCGUGAGACAGUUCGGUCCCUAUCUGCCGUGGGCGCUGGAGAACUGAGGGGGGCUGCUCCUAGUACGAGAGGACCGGAGUGGACGCAUCACUGGUGUUCGGGUUGUCAUGCCAAUGGCACUGCCCGGUAGCUAAAUGCGGAAGAGA